rnacentral:rRNA from 1 species
UUGUUGCUUUGGCGGGACCGUCUCGGUCUCCGAGCGCACUAACCCUCGGGUUGGUGAGCGCCCGCCAGAGUCCAACCAAACUCUUGUAUUAAACCAGUCGUCUGAGUAUAAAAUUUUAAUUAAAUUAAAACUUUCAACAACGGAUCUCUUGGUUCUCGCAUCGAUGAAGAACGCAGCGAAAUGCGAUAAGUAAUGUGAAUUGCAGAAUUCAGUGAAUCAUCGAAUCUUUGAACGCACAUUGCGCCCCUUGGUAUUCCGAGGGGCAUGCCUGUUCGAGCGUCAUUACACCACUCAAGCAUCGCUUGGUAUUGGGAACGGUCUGUCGAAAGGCGGGCCUUCCUCGAAGACCUCGGCGGGGUUCAACCAACUUCGGGCGUAGUAGAGUUAAAUCGAACGUCUUAUAAGCUUGGUCGGAUCUCAUUGCCGUUAAACCUUUAAAUUUUCUAGGUUGACCUCGGAUCAGGUAGGGAUACCCGCUGAAC